rnacentral:misc_RNA from 1 species
GAUGAAGAACGUAGCGAAAUGCGAUACGUAAUGUGAAUUGCAAAUUCAGUGAAUCAUCGAGUCUUUGAACGCACAUUGCGCCCCCUGGUAUUCCGGGGGGCAUGCCUGUCCGAGCGUCAUUGCUGCCCUCAAGCACGGCUUGUGUGUUGGGCCCCGUCCUCCGAUCCCGGGGGACGGGCCCGAAAGGCAGCGGCGGCACCGCGUCCGGUCCUCGAGCGUAUGGGGCUUUGUCACCCGCUCUGUAGGCCCGGCCGGCGCUUGCCGAUCAACCCAAAUUUUUAUCCAGGUUGACCUCGGAUCAGGUAGGGAUACCCGCUGAACUUAAGCAUAUCAAUAAGCGGAAGGA